GAAUGUGAUGCUGCUUUAAUGGCCAACGUUCUGAACCUGGUGAAACUGGCCUUCAAGUGUGCUGCUCCCCUUUGACUGCAGUCUAAAGCAACACGAGAGAAAAGGAAUCCAGAGAAACUGACUGAAAAUCCUUCCCCCCCUCCUGUAACAAACGACAACUGAAAAAAUCAAGAUUUCCAUUUCUAUAAUACCAAGCUGUCUUUUGGAAAAAUCAGAGGGAUUCUUAUGCAAGAUCCAAGUAAAGCUUCUAGGAUACAUCAAAGAGGCAGGACAUCAGGCUAACAUCAGCUGCAGUAGUGAGUAACACAUUUCUGUGAUGGAAAUACAUCAUGUGUGAAUGUGUGCACGUUC
rnacentral:lncRNA from 1 species